UACGAAGGGUGCAAGCGUUACUCGGAAUUACUGGGCGUAAAGCGUGCGUAGGCGGUUUGUUAAGUCUGUCGUGAAAGCCCCGGGCUCAACCUGGGAAUGGCGAUGGAUACUGGCGAGCUAGAGUACGGUAGAGGAGAGUGGAAUUCCCGGGUGUAGCAGUGAAAUGCGUAGAGAUCGGGAGGAACAUCAGUUGCGGAAGGCGGCUCUCUGGACCAGUACUGACGCUGAGGCACGAAAGCGUGGGGAGCAAACAGG
rnacentral:rRNA from 1 species